CUCGGCCUCCCAAAGUGCUGGGAUUACAGGCGUGUGCCACCACGCCCGGCCGCAUUUGGAGCAUUAAUAACAUCAAAUAACAGGCAUUGUGUUUGAUUCACAAUUGAACCUGGAACAGCAAACAUGAGCCAUCCUUUGGCAAGUCUGCCCGCACAAGCCUUGCCAGCAGCUCUCCUUUUUAGCCCACAUACCUGUGCCUGGGCUCUGUGGUUUGUACCCUCCUUGGUCUCAGUGUGUUCCAGGGGAGAAGUGGUGGGUGGAGGCUCUUUACUGAUUCUUGCCCUCCUCGUCAGUACUCUCAAAAGUGCUAGUUUCCUGUUUGUCUUGCAUUCUGUCCGCUACCAGGGCUUGGUCUGCAAAUGGAGAGCUCCCUCAAGAGUGCCCUUUCCAGAGAGAAGCCCUCACCUCUGCCCUGUGUGAUGUCUCAGAAGCCACUACCAGAUAGCCACGGUUUCUGCAGUCAAAGACGUGCUGGAGGGGACAGAGAAUCCAAACACCAGGGGAGCAAGAGUAGAGUUGGUUUCAUUCACCCCGGGCUCUCCAAGCAUAGCAAACGCUCUGGAAGCACGUGAUGAGUGGCUGGGUGACGAAGAGCUACGACCCGAGACAUGGUACCCACAUGGGUACCCACCCUAUGGGUAGACACGAGCCUGGUGUCAGGAGGAACUGGGUUUGAAUCCUUCAACAACUGUGUGGCCUUUCCUCUCUCUGAGCGUCGAUGUCCUUAUUCGUAGAGUGGAUGAUCAUACCUUCCUUGCAGAGCCAUUGCACAGAUAGUGACAUAGGCACACACAAUACAGUCCUGGCUCACGCUCAGGAGACAGUGGCUGUCAAGUCAGGAGCCCGUCCUGCAGCAGCCUAGCCAUCUGGAAGGAUCACUCCUCGACAUGCCGUCAAUGCCUGGCACUUGGCUGUGCAUGGAGGCAAACACAGGGCCCUUCACUCAGGCCAAGCUCAGGAGAGCCCAGGCUGCACCGAGUCCACACUCUCGGCUCAUUUCCCUCAGUCCACCAAGAGGAUGACACCAAGGCCCCCUCCUGUACCCCUGCCUCUGCCCCAGCAAGUCCUACUGAGAUCCUGCCUGUUAUGAAAUGGGGCUGUCCCAUUGGGUGCAGGGCAGAUGGCACCAUGCCUCUAGGAGCCUCAGCAUGUGUUUCCAAGGAGACAGCCGUGUGUGUGUGUGUACACACCAACUUGUACCAUCCAGUUCUUCAAAGGAAGGUGGAAAGAAGGGAAUGAGGGUCAGGUUGCAAAUGGGAUGUAGGUGGAAGACGCACGACGCCAGGCCAUGCUGCUGUUUGCCUUUCACAGAAAAAACCAGCACAGCAUCUCACGGUUUGCAGACACUUUCACAUGGGAUAACUCACUUAAUCUUGGCAACAAGCUCAUGGCACAGAUAUUCUUUUCCGCUUUUUAAAGUCUGGAGAUGGAGAGAGAGGGGGGCAAGUCCCAACCAGUGGGUUGUAGAAUUAGGAUUUGUGGCCUGACUCUGAUCAUAAGCCCCCUGCUCUCUUCCCAGGGCCACACUGCCUUGCCUAGAAAGGAUUCUAGAUCAGGAGUGCCCCUACGUGGGGAUGCCGCCUGCCCAGCCCAAAGCAAAGGCCUUGUUCAGCCUUUGAGGUGUAUGUUCCGGCUUCACAACUCCCUGAAACGGAGGCCUGAGUGACCGGAGAUGGCAAGAAAAUGGGAGGAGGUGUCUCUAAGCAUGGCCAGGGCCCCAUGGGAGAGGGAAGUAUAGGGUAUAAAAUGCUAAUCAUAUGAUUUAGAGACACAGUGUCUUUCCAGAAGCUGGAAGAGAAAGACGUUAAGAGCUGGAGUGAGCAGUCUGGAACAGAAUCAACUCUUGGAAAAGUAUCCUUGGGAGACAGGUUGGGAGUGAAGACAGGAAGAGUGGUUUUCAGGAUUUAGGGCCCAGGGACAUAGAGGGGAAACUGAGUCAGGGCUUGGCUACAGACCCACCCUUUUGCUGGAAAUGGAUUUCUCUGCCAAAAGAGAAAUUGUUUGAACUCAUGGCCUAGAGUGAAGGCCACCAAGAAGCCAUUGUCGUUGGAAGCCAAGGGAGUCUGGGAGCUGGUCAGCUCUGGUGGAGAAAGUCUGUUUAUCCAGGGACAGGAAAGAGGCAAGGUCUACACGGGCUGGGCUGGGAGGCCCAGGGGCAGCACGAGGGAGAGGGACCCCAAGUCUGGGUUUCAAGGGGCAUCAAUGAACUAGAAAACGGAAUGAGGCUGGGUGCAGUGGCUCACGCCUGUAAUCCCAGCACUUUGGGAGGCUGAGGCAGCUGG
rnacentral:lncRNA from 1 species